rnacentral:misc_RNA from 1 species
GGCUGCCCUGGCCACCCUCCUGGGAGCUGUCCUCAGCUUCACCUGCAUCCCCGCCAGCACCAAAGGGGCCAAAACUGACGCCCAGGCUCCACUGCCAGGCGGCCCCCGGGCCAGUGUGUUCGACCUGAAGGCCAUCGCCUCCCUGCUGCGGCUGCCAGACGUCCCGAGGAUCUUCCUGGUGAAGGUGGCCUCCAACUGCCCCACAGGGCUCUUCAUGGUCAUGUUCUCCAUCAUCUCCAUGGACUUCUUCCAGCUGGAGGCCGCCCAAGCUGGCUACCUCAUGUCCUUCUUCGGGCUCCUCCAGAUGGAAUUUGGGAGAGUGACUGGUCCCCUGCAGAGGUGCUGCAGGCUGGGCCUGCCCUGUGGGCAGAUACUGAGCCCAGGGGCUCCUCCAGCCGGGGCCACCCCUGCACUCCCAGGCGCGUUGGCCCAGCACGCCCUGCUUAGUGGAGGAGCUGAGAUGACCAGAUAGAGAGCCUCGCCCUGGCCUGGGAGCAGCCUGCGGCCAAGCCUGUCCCACCGAAUCCAUCCCCGGGAGCAGCCUGCGGCCGAGCCUGUCCCACCGAGCCCAUCCCCGGGAGCAGCCUGCGGCCGAGCCUGUCCCACCGAGCCCAUCCCCGGGAGCAGCCUGCGGCCGAGCCUGUCCCACCGAGCCCAUCCCCGGGAGCAGCCUGCGGCCGAGCCUGUCCCACCGAGCCCAUCCCCGGGAGCAGCCUGCGGCCGAGCCUGUCCCACCGAGCCCAUCCCCGG